UUAGGGAAUUACACGCAAAGUUGAUCGGGGGUUUACAGUAAAGAGGCUUAGCCUUAGAGAAUCGAGAAGCGUUGUAACGAAGAACUGUCGAGUACUGUAAACAAAUACAAACUAGAGCUUUUCGCCUCGCGCGAAAUCAUGCUAUGUUUGGCUCAGGUGAAGAAAUACGUAGAAAACGAAAAUAUUUUGUAGACGUCUUCAGUUUGGUAUUCGAGUGCCGUCCAAUUUUCAUGCAGUGGCAUUGUGGCAACAAAUUAUUUGGGUAUUUUUACAUAUGAGGUGAUGUCCUAGGACAUCAGCUUGACAACUACUUGAAGUGGGUUGAGAACAGAGGCGGAUGGUGAUGAUAAUCAAAAGUGAACGCCUCGUGUUCACAGCAAAGAUGUUACAAUAGACAACUUGGCUCGAUGUAGCGUAUCUUGCUGUUUCGGUGUCCUCCUGAUACCAUUUGAGCUUUAAAAAAACAACCAGAAGCAAGAUAUAGCAGCUUAAAGUGUAUGUCGAAAAUUAAUCUUCUUUACCUGUAUGGGAUAUUCGUUAUAAAGAACCGAUGGCAAUGUUGAACUCAAGCCCGUUAUAUAUAUCUAAUUGUGGAGACCAGGUAAAAAACACUGGUCAACUGGUAAAUAUCAGACCGGAUAAACGAUACUCGACUUGGCAAACCAUGCAGAGUACACGAGACCACAGAACCCAAAUAUUCCAUCGGCUUUGUUGAGAGACAUCAAGAGACAAGACGAUGAUGGAGUCACUUUACCCGUAAAAUUCGACUAUAGGCAUGUAACGAGCGUCAAUAAUCGAUUAAAAUAAAGACGCCACGUAUGGAGUUUGACCAUGCUUUGGUCUUCCGUAAAGAAUAAAAAAGAGCUGGUUGCUGCAGUUUCUCGAUUGUCGACCAUGCUGAGUCAGCCAAUAUAGACGUUAGACAAAGUUAUUAUUUAUAGAAAAUGACGUCGCUGUUUACGUUGGAUCUACGGAGGUAUGAUUUGUUUCAAUUUCAUAUGUACUCAAAGUGGAGUAAUUAUUGCUGUUACCAUGAAAUGAGAAUUAUCGCGAAGGUAUUUUGUAUUUAAUGUUCCGAAUCUGGGUGCAUGGGUUGAAUAACUGCGAAAGCAACAACAUUUCAUCAUUUUCAUGGUAUGUACAAUAUCACGCGUUUUUUGUUUUUGAUUUGACCUCGAAUGACGUCAAUCAUAUUCUAUUAUUUCUAAUACUGCAUUAGAAAUUACGUAUAUAAAAUAACAUGUGGAUCAUCUCAUCCAUGAUCUUGUCCAAUUUUGAUCCAAACAGACGAUUUUAAAGAAUUGAUUAUUCAACAUAUUGCGCAUGCACCACCAUCCCGGUCGCUUCCAAUUUUAAUCCAAAACGAACCAUCCAUAAAUUAAUUAUCUUGGUUUCUACACUUUGUUAACGAAAGUUGAAUGUUCUUCACUCGAUUUGCAAUUAAGGGCGCGUCUUGUAAAAUUUCACAUUCUCUC